rnacentral:rRNA from 1 species
AGAGUUUGAUCCUGGCUCAGGAUGAACGCUAGCGGCAGGCUUAACACAUGCAAGUCGAGGGGCAUCGGGAGGGAAGCUUGCUUUCCUUGCCGGCGACCGGCGCACGGGUGAGUAACACGUAUGCAACCUGCCCUCUUCAGGGGGACAACCUUCCGAAAGGGAGGCUAAUCCCGCGUAUAUCGGUUUCGGGCAUCCGAGAUCGAGGAAAGAUUCAUCGGAAGAGGAUGGGCAUGCGGCGCAUUAGCUUGACGGCGGGGUAACGGCCCACCGUGGCGACGAUGCGUAGGGGUUCUGAGAGGAAGGUCCCCCACACUGGUACUGAGACACGGACCAGGCUCCUACGGGAGGCAGCAGUGAGGAAUAUUGGUCAAUGGGAGAGAUCCUGAACCAGCCAAGCCGCGUGAGGGAAGACGGCCCUAUGGGUUGUAAACCUCUUUUGUCGGAGAACAAAACCCGGGACGUGUCCCGGACUGCGUGUAUCCGAAGAAAAAGCAUCGGCUAACUCCGUG